rnacentral:lncRNA from 1 species
GGAAGGAGGAUGUUCCUGCAUGCUGUAAGCACGGCUGGUGAUUCCUGCGUGCUUUCAACGAGAUCUCGCUAGCAAGCCGUCGUUAACGCGUCGCUGUCACCGCGUGGCUUUCUCACCACCAACAACGUACAUGUACAUGCGCACCACUGUAAGACACAUCUGCUCAUCACUGCGCUGGGAGUUCGUCAAGCUUGCAGUAUGAGAUUUGGCAAGCUAUCGCAAAGAUCUGCCCAACGCAUUCAAUUACAAGUCGGGGUCCUCGGCACACUUCGAUGUGCGUACGUGUCGCUGUGCCACUCUCUUUGUGUCUUUACCUGUCACUAUCUGGAAUAUAAUAACUUCGCUGUCAUCUCUUUCGAUGUGCCUGUCACCAGGUCUGCAGUGUGUCAGUGACUGAUAAGGUUAUAUGGUCAACCCCUCUAUACCCUGCGAAAUGAUUAACUUGGAUAUUUAUUACACACAGGCAGAGAUGUUGGUCAGGCUGUGGUUUUCCACCACAUAAAUCCGAGCGUUUUAUAGGGUGCAUCGGAAACAGGUAUAGCGAUCGGGGAAUAUCUCGAUCUGUACAGGUGAUGGGAUCCUAACGUAAAGCAUGGGAAACCAAAUUAGCUAUCUGUAUCUCUAUUCGUCCACUGCGAGGAAUUCAGAAUGGAGGCAAUGAGAGAUUUCAACAGACGCUGCUUGCUGAGACGUAACCAGGUUGAUACUCAUUAGGUUCGUACUGGGAAUCGAGUUGGGAAGCUCCAAGGUAGAAGGCCAAUACACAGCCGCAUAUAAGCUUGGAAUUUAGUUUCAACCCUCCUUCAACCCAUGCUUCAACCAACCCCCUCGGCGAACCAACUUGGCUUCGGUUAGACAACAGCUGGUCACAACAUGUAUGCCAUCACAAUGUGCGAAUGGAUCACCAGUGCAGAUGACGUCACGUAACACUCAACACUAGUUCAAGGCAAACUAUAAAGUUGUGUGCACCCAUGUCGGCGGAAUCUAUUACAACACUGCGUGCUAUUGUGUGCGCACAAUGAUAUUCCACGCAUAAGCAGUAAACAAUUGAUAUCUGUGCAUAAUUUGUGAAUAUACCAACUUGGGCCAAAGUACACUCCAAGUUUUCUUUAUUCAGACGGGUGGCAGUAAGUGGUCUUUGUUUGGAACCGGUUACAAACAUCAGUACAUGUACGACGUGUGCCAAACUUCGGAAGAGAGUGCCAUAAUGGAAACGGAAACUCGACAGGUUUGGGCCUGUAAGUCCACUAGUAGAGGGUUAUUUGCACUGCUCUCAAGGACAACAAUACCUUUCCACGCUCUAUUGAACACACCUUUGUGUGUUUUGACUAUAAUGCUAGGCUACGGAGUCUGGCGGGGCCAUUGUGCACCGUUGGAGGGAUCAAUGACAAGUGAGGAUUUUUUGGAGGACUAUUCGGCUGACUACAGCAGAGACAGUCAGGGCUCACAGUCGAUACAAAAAAUGCAGGGCUACCCAGGACCCGAAGAAGAUGCACCAGGUUUCAAGUACAGCUUCAACGCAGUAGCGUCCCCGAAAUACAUGUACGAAGGUGUAAUCAUCUGUCUGCUGGCUGUCACGGCGUUCAUUGGACUCGUGGUCUGGGUCCUCAAGUCCAACUUUGAGGAGCGACAGACACGAAGAAUGCGUCGGGAAGCGUCUUUGCGGGACCGGAACUCGAAUGUCAGUCCACUCAUGACGCCGGAUUCGGAGGAAUCAUGACACGCAGAAAUGAAGGCACUGUCUACUGCUGAUCUUUGUAUAUAAUCAGUUUCAUGGUGUACCUAUAAUGUCAGACGAUUGAUGUACAUGUGUGUCUAUGGAAAGGCAGCCAGCCAAUGUCAUAAACAAUGACGGAAUUUGGAAACUUUCAUCAAACUGUUUGGUAUUUCACGUUAACGUUUCCCGCCGAUUUCUCACGCUUUUUGUGACUUCUUGAUCUAAACACCCUCACAGCUAGAGGAAUUGUUAUCCGGGGAAAAUUAAUCUACCUUUUGGCCCGAAUAUCAGGUUUGUUAACUGACUAUUGGUACUACUACUAGAAACAUGUACAGAAAGAAAUCUCCUCGUACUGUACAUGUACUCUACUACUACACACACCAGCGCGCUGCACGGGUCUUCAGAAAAAUUACCCACUCACUCUGUUAAACAGCAGUAACCACACAGCUGGACGUGAGCCAUUGAAUUCAACGCGGUGCUGCAGAGUACAAGUACAUGCACAUGAUCUCGGGAGAGAUACGGUUCACUGCAACUUGUUUGUUGACUGGGGGCCAUGGAGUGCGUUCAGGUGAUGUCAACAAGCAAAUGAACACAAGCUCUGGCUGUACACGUACAUUAUAUAGGGGAUGUGAACGGCACCAUGCACGGAAUAUAUCACUCUGUUCAACAAACAUCACCGAAUAAAUGUAUAACAUUACUGCCAGGUUGAGAAUGGAUGUACAAAAAAUUGGUAUUGCAGCUUUAAUAAGUGCACCCAUCAUUAUGUAAAAGUGUCUUCUCCAGAGCUUGUUUUCCCCUUGUGUUAACUUUUGUCACCGAAAUAACGCGUGUACCUGAAUCUGAGAUCACCGCAUCUACAUGUACCAUAUAAACGAAAUUUGGCCACUUGUCAGGAAAUUUUUAUAACUAAAAACCUUCAAUUUUCUCCGACAAGCUCCUGUUUAUUAUCAUGCUUAGAAAUCAGUAGUCAUUUCUCGACCUGUGUCCACGACCAGCGGCUGCAAUGUCAGUUAGGUCAUAACGUUAGGCUGCCGAGGAUCGAGAGUACGUAUAUACUUUUUAAUAGCUCCCCUUAGGCCAUAGGCUCGGUAGCAGUCGAGAAUCAUCUCUAGGGGUGUGUUCAGCAAUUAGGACCCACUGUGACUUGCACCAGCCUCUCCUCGUGAUGUCUAGGUUAUGUGUUAGCACGUCUGUCAACACUUCAAGCUAGCUGGUUUUUAUUAGCUUACAGUCGUCACGUGACCUCACGAGGACAACUUCUGUACAAACAGUCAGCACAGUGUCUGAAAUGUGACUUCAAUCAUUACUGCCUGAACGGUCAAACCUGUUCAGUUGUGAGAAAAGCCUAACAUUCAGAUGUGAUCCUUGGAUUGUUUAGAAAUGGAAACUCAAGAGGGAAUGUAAUUUACAAAGUCAUAAUAAAUUGGUCUUUGAUUGUAACAACCGAAAAAAGUGUUUCAAUGUAGGUUUGUCUCUGAAAUCGAUUGUUUGGCCCAAAUAAUCGAUUUAAGAGACAACUUUACAUUGAAACACAUUUACAUGUAUGUUUGUAAUGCAACGUUCAAGUUUGUUUUGAUUUAAAGAGAUAAACUAUGUCUGUCUUGUUACUGUAAAGUGUCACUUUGACAGGGAUGGACUUUUAACAGCAAUGUGAACAAAGCAAACAGUGUACAUGUAUACACGUCAUUAUCGGCCUAUAAAAAAUCAAAAUAUACGCUUGAGUUGGUUUACAACGAUAGGAAAUAAAAUUCCUUGGACUCGGUACCUAAUGUUGUUUGCAUUAGCGGCGUGGCUAAAAUUGUCGCCCCCACUUGAUGUUAUCACGAUUACGUGUAUGUCCAACAUCCAGUCCCCCGCCCCGUGCUGAGAAUCCUGGCUAUACCACUGGGACUGUUUAACAUAACUUGAUUAGCCACAAACAAACCCGUUCUGUGAUUUGAAGCAUAGCCAGCCUUUCUUUUUCUGGGUCCCAGCUUUGUUUUUCGUCAUGUUGAUAGAUUUUCCAAGCACACUCUAUUUCCAUUUGCAGCGGCUGUAAACCUACAUCUGCGUCCAAGGAAAAAAAAUGUUAUUGUGAUCUUCAAAAUCAAUUGCCAAAAAGGUUUGCUUCAGUUUUUGUCCGGAAAAGACGACGUACGUCAACGUUUGAUUACGUCGAAAUCGUAACUGGCUUAUCCUGUACUAAAAUUGAGACUAUUGUUUGCAAACAGUAACAAACCGACAGUUAUUUGGUUUGCACCACUCAAUUUUCAAUUCCAAAAAUAAUUGGCGAAUUAACUGUUCAUUUUAAAAUUGUACACUCUAUCUCAACCGGUUUGCUAAGCUUUAUGUUUUGCGGGUUGGAAAAGACAUCCCACACCUUCCACAGGUAGGCCUAAUCGUUAUGUAAAUACAAGACAUGCAAGUACCAAAUUAUCCUUUUUUUUCUUUAAUAAUGAGCACAAAUAGGCAUCACUAUUGUACAACUACCCGUGCAAUAGCAAGGACUGAAUAAACUUGAAAUAAAUAUGCACUAAUUUGUAAUAAAUGGAAA